UGAGUGACCUGCCGAUUUGUGGGGGAUAGCCGGGCCAACGCCCGGGUAAUACCGCAUACGCUCUUCUUGGGGCAUCUCUAGAAGAGGAAACCUCCGGGGCAAAUCGAGGGACUCGCGGCCUAUCAGCUAGUUGGCGAGGUAACGGCUCACCAAGGCUACGACGGGUAGCUGGU
rnacentral:rRNA from 1 species